CUUGACGACCAUAGAGCGUUGGAACCACCUGAUCCCUUCCCGAACUCAGAAGUGAAACGAUGCAUCGCCGAUGGUAGUGUGGGGUCUCCCCAUGUGAGAGUAGGUCAUCGUCAAG
rnacentral:rRNA from 1 species